rnacentral:rRNA from 1 species
CUUGCUGUCGAGUGGCGGACGGGUGAGUAACACGUAGGAAUCUGCCUAGCAGCGGGGGAUAGCCCGGGGAAACUCGGAUUAAUACCGCAUACGCUCUACGGAGGAAAGUGGGCCUCUUCUUGAAAGCUCACACUGCUAGAUGAGCCUACGUCCGAUUAGCUAGUUGGUGGGGUGAAGGCCUACCAAGGCGACGAUCGGUAGCUGGUCUGAGAGGAUGAUCAGCCACACCGGGACUGAGACACGGCCCGGACUCCUACGGGAGGCAGCAGUGGGGAAUAUUGGACAAUGGGCGAAAGCCUGAUCCAGCAAUGCCGCGUGUGUGAAGAAGGCCUGCGGGUUGUAAAGCACUUUUAUUAGGAAAGAAAUGGCCUGGGCUAAUACCCCAUGGCAGCUGACGGUACCUAAUGAAUAAGCACCGGCUAACUCCGUGCCAGCAGCCGCGGUAAUACGGAGGGUGCAAGCGUUAAUCGGAAUUACUGGGCGUAAAGCGUGCGUAGGCGGCUACGUAAGUCGG